UCCUCUCCUCUCGCUCUCGUUGUUCGUCCGUGUCUUCGUCCCCUCGCGGAUCCUCGUCAAGGUGUGCGAGUGACGAGGCUGGACGAGGUUGGUUGAGCGCGACGAACCAGCGAGGUAGUUCGAAGUCCUGCGCGAGAGGAGGUGCGACGAGCAGGACGCGGGUUUUGUGCGAAGUGGGCUGUGCGACGAGGUGCUGCGAGUGACGAGGCUCGCGAGCGGUUUUGUGAGGUUGUGCGCGAAGCUUGUGGUGAGCGAGCGAGGGAGUCCGUGAGUGCGAGGGACGCUGCGAGGCUCGCGAGCGUGACGCGGGCGACAGACGCGAGGGUGCGACGAGGUCGCGCGUGGUCGUGGGGCCGUGCGACGAAUCUGGUUCGAGCGUAGCUGUGCGACGAAGUUGUUGCGCCGUUGCCGGAAAUCGGUCGCCGGAAUUUGAUUUCCGGCGAGCUUAACGGUCCCAAUUUCAUAAGCGGAACGUUCGAUUAAGACAGCGAAAAUUCUCCGUUACAAGACUAGGUGUGCCGGUGCUGCUGCAUAAUCUCGAGCAUACGGGG